GGGAGCACAAGGGGACCAGUGGGGAGGUCAGCGCGUCAAGCUUUCCUGUGAACAUGUAGGAAACAAGCAAAAAACCUUUCCCUGGAGUUGGGCUUCUGGCGGGGGUUUUUCUCAGGGAGCCGGGGAGAAUGCAGACAGACUGCUGCGUGCAGGCUGACGAGGGGCAGAGUGCACCUCAACGUCUGAGCCAAGGGCGCCACAGACCAAGCUCCAAGGAACCAGGAGUCUGGGAGAGCAUCCAGCUUCUGCAGGCCACAGGACUUGCAGGGCUCUGAGCCAAGUUUACCCAGACCCCCAAAGACCUCUGUUACCAACCCUGCGAACAUAAGGUGAAUAACUUUAUGAUCUUAAAUAAGGUGAAAUGGGCUUGCUGGUGGAGUGCCUGCCUAGUUAUGCAUGGGCUCGGCUUCCACCCUCCGCACCAUACACAUGGAUGCACAUUCAAUCUUAAAGUUCAGUAAAUUAAAAUGUGCAAACUGCAUGUUUUAAUUAUUCCCACAUUUUAAUUAAUUCUCGAUUUUAAUCAUUCCCACAUUUCAAAGCUUUAAAGUGAAGACACAUGAACAACCCACAGAUCCCAGGGCCUAUGUGCAAACAUAUGCUGGCAUGACUUUGGUGUCAGUCUACAUGAAAGAUGACUUAUGCCCAAGCCACUAUUCAGAUGCAGCCUGUGCACUUAAGUAUGUUUUUAGAGAAAAUGCACCGAUGUAGAUUCCUCUUAUAGGUGACUUUAUACUGUAUAGAGUGUUUGGUGUGUACCCUGCCAUUUGUACUUGCUAAAUAAUGCUUCUGGAAACAGGUUCACUUAGACUGACUCUCCUUCUGCUCAGCUCUUGGCUGGCCUUGGUCCAAGUCUUCACAUGAGUUACGGAGGGAUGGUUGCAUUUAGAGAGGUUGAAAACCUAGGCUCUGUGGAUGGCGUAGGGAGGUCUGGACCUUCAGUAGUAUAAAGAUACAGUGUUCCUGGAUGCAUGUGUGUUUUAGGAGAGGACUUGGUUUACUCUGUGGCUUUCAUAGAUGAGGCACACUGUUGGGGGAAGUGGCCAAUAGAGCCACAUAGCCAGUCAUUAGGAGGACUUAGACAAAGGUGGGACCUGAAACCACAGCAAAUGAUGGCUGUUGUUCAAGUUUGGAUCUUAAGUGCUUCCCCAAUGGUCCAUGUGUUAAAGACUUGUCCCAAGCUGGGGCACUAAUGGGAGAUGGUGGGGCCCAGAGAGAGGUCUUCAGAUCAUUGGAGCCCAUUCCUCACAGGGGGUUCUGGACCUCCUCUUCCGUGUCUUGCUUGCCAGCCACGUGAGCUUGCCCCAUCCUGCACUCCACCAUGAUGCAUUGUCUCCCGGGAGCAGCCAGCCAGGCCACCGUGGACGGAAACCUCUCCACCCGCAAGCUUUUUCUUUUUGUAAAUUGAGUAUCUUAGGUAUUCGAUAGAGUAAUGAAAGCUGACUGACAUGGAUAUAAUAAAUGGAAGAAAAAAGGGCUGUGCUAUGGUGAAGAAAGAAAAACGCUGACAUGUAAUGAAAAGGUACGUGUGCCUGUGAUAUCACGCAGGACUCAGUUGGGCUGGGUUCUCCUACCGGACAAGAGUUAACGCAACCAGCUCGUUAAAGUCUAUAGGCGUGUCAGAGGGAGCUGUCUGGAAGUGGGGAGAAUGGACCCUGUGAAUGCAAGACAGUAGAUCUACAAUUGAGUCUGUCUUCUGGUUACAGAGGAGGUGUUCUGGCUAUAACAUUGGGGUAAGCUCCCCACUGCUGGAUUGAGCUGUUUCCGGUUGCUCAAAUAAACCUAUUCAUCACCUGGUUUUGUGCUUUCUCGUUUAAUUUCUGUGUCCCACUUUACUUGCCUGGAGCACAAGAGAGGUCAAUCUCUUUGUGUUUAAAUCAGCCAUGUUGAGCCUUCUUCCUGUCUGUUCUCAAAAUGUUGUUUUUACCUCUGGUACUACUCUUUCACCCCUGGGUGCCCUGUCCCCUUCCUGAGACAAGGUCAAGAUCCACAGAGACUUACUCCAAGUGAUAAGUCCUGUUUCUAAGAUCUUGUGGGAACAAACCAGAUAUUUGACCAGUAGACCAGCCGUCUGACUCCCGGUGUUCACUGUGGGCCACCUGUAGGAUCUGAAAGAACUGGGUUCUCUGCGUUGCUUACCAAGAAGCUCACUCGACCCUGUGAACAUCAG
rnacentral:lncRNA from 1 species